GUUAAAGAAAUCACAGAUGAUCUAAAUAAAUGGAGAAACAUACCAUGUUCAUGGAUUGGAAGACUCAACAUAGCAAAGAUGCCCGUUCUCCCCACACUGACCCACAGGUUUAACGGAAUUCCUAUCACAGUCCAGCAAGGCCUCUUGUAGGCACAGACAAGCUUGUUCUAAAACUCACGUGGAAGGGCACAGGCCCCAGAGUAGCUAAAAUGGUCUUGAAGAAGAAGAAUAAAGUGGGAAGAAUCACUCUACCCGACGUUAAGCCUUGCUAUACAGCCCCAGAAGUCAGGGCAGUGGGUGUCGCAGAGGGACAGACACACGGAUGAACAGGACAGAACAGAGACCCAGGAACAGACCCACACGAAUCUGCCCAACUGAUCUUUGAUGGGAGCAAAGGCAAUUCAACGGAGGAAGGAGAACCUUUAACAAGUGGUGUUGGAACAAUGGGAUGUCCGCAGAAAAUGAACCUCGAGCUAAAUCUCCCACUUUGUGAAAAUUAACUCAAAUAACGGACUUAAAUAUACAACAAAAAAUUAUAAAACUUUCAGGAAAAACAUAGGAGAAAAUCUUCAGAAUCCAGGGCUAGGCAAAGAGCGCUUGGACUUGAGCGAGCCCUAAAGCAUGAUUCGUAAAAGGAAACACUGGUAACUUGAUCUCAUGAAUAUUAAAAGCUUUUGCUCGGCAAAAGCCCAUGAGAUGAGGACGAAAGGACAAGCUACAGAGUGGAAGAAGAUAUUUGCAAACCAUCUAUCUGAAAUAAGGACUAGAAUCUAGAACACAUAAGGGACUCUGAAAACUCCAUAGGGAAGAAGCACACUCGGUUCUUGAAUGGGCCAACGCGGAGCCCCCUCGGCCAUCACUCUCUCCAGGCCUCCACCAGGCAGCCACCUCCGGGAGUGGGCAUUGGUUCUAUUGUUGUAGAAUACUAAAUUCUGCUACAGAAGAUAAGAAGAAAAGGUGGAGGGCGGUGGUCGGGGGGUGAGUUUCCUAUCAUGUUUGAAGAUAAAUUUAAAAGAGCAAGUGGGUCUUAAGACAGAAGAGUAGGAAGGCCAAGACCCAGGUCAAUGUGAGGCAUCCGGACACUCAGUGAUCUGCUCGCUAAGUGUACCAGAGGCGUUACAUAUUCAGGAUCAGUAAGUAUAUAUAAAGCACUAAAUAUUCAGGAUCAGCCAGUAUAUGCAACAGGUACUUAGCAUUCAGGACCCCCCCAAGGCACUCAAUUUCCAUAAGGUCUUAGUCAGCCACUGCUGGGCUCUGCACAGGACAUCCUGUGCUGUGAGGCUGCACCGGUGCGCACUGGCCCACACCCCCAGCCUUGGCCCGGGUCCUAGUCAUCCUGCCAUCAGCAGGGAGCCAAGGCAACAGCGAGCUGCCGAACCACCAACACGUGCAUCAGGAUCAGGCAUGCUGCCUUUCCUCCCCUGACACCCUUCCUAAGUUUGUCACCUUGCUCAUCUUUUCCUACCUGCUGCGAGGUUUAAGUCGACUUAAUAAACCUCGUGGUUUGAGCUUCCUAACGGGCCUGUGAACCCUUCUGCGCCAUGACUGUGGUGAGCUUGGAGGGCACUUUAGCCUCCAGCGUCCCCCACUGAGAGGCGUCCGAGGCUGCCCCCAGGCAGAUGAGCCCGACACGCUACUGCUGUGGAACCCCUCCAUUUCCGCCUCUCCCAGCACUGGAUAUUGGGGGUGAUUCUCAGGUCUCCCCGACCAGACGAGAAAACCUGUCCGGCUUGAUUCCCAAGGACAUGGGCGCUUAGAAUGGCGCAGCCCAGCAGGCCCCCAUACAGGUGUGCCGGACUUCAGGUUCUAGAGUCUGACGGCAAAUGAACACUCUGGAGUGGGGCGCACGUCUGUGUGUGAUACACUCACCCUCCUCCUAUUUGUAAAAUUCUAUCUUUAGAUGUCACAUUUCUAGCCAGAGAAGCUUUAGCUAUGUGGUCACAAGCCCUUCAAGGCAGCCCCCGUGCCCAGAACCCCGCAGGGGCUGCGGAGUGCUUGCCAGGUAGCAGCCCCAAUCCUUCCGCGCCGCUGCCCGAGCAGCACUUCCAUAUACCUCUGACCGGCCUCCAGCCACACUCCAGCGCCUUCUACCCGCUGCUGGUCUCAGUCCCUCCAAACCCAGGCGUCCCACCAUCCCCAGAGCAGACAGGACGCUCCCCACUCUAGGAGCCUCCAAGUUUCGGCUCACAUCUCAGUCUCCACCAUCCCGGGCAACACUGCCCAGGCCUCUGGUGCUCGAUUUCUGCUCAGCCGGUCAACCUCUGCAACACUGUCUCACUUCCCGGGUCAUGCUCCUCCCCACAGAUGUAGCUCCUGGAAGGCACUUUUCCUCUGAGACCCCCGCUGCCCUCCUCCCCGUGCUCAGAGCCGUGCCAGGCACAUCGCAAGUACUCAGUGAAUGAAAUUUAAAAACACACACACACACGAAGGCUUCCUUCUCCCUCUAGUCAAUGGGGGCAGAGAAGGAAUGAAAUUGAGCUCCAAGGACCACACAGGCAAAGAGCGGGGAGGGUGUGCCAUCCCGCCGCUGGGCGCCCUCAGUCCCCCCGCACUAAGUAACGGCCCCACUGGAUCCUUUUCUACAACGGUCCUGUUCUGAUUUGGAGGAAGUUUCCAAGAAAAGAAAACUAGGCACCCAAGGAUGAGAGCCACCCUCCCGCAGGCUCCGAGAUGCGACAGACAGUUGCAAAGGGAGUCUGAAGGCGCGGCCUCUUCAGAGGCCAUUCCGGGAGCGAGCGCAAGGCUGUUUUUGCUGAAAUGUAAAAAGGAUCGUGGGCUUUACGUCAUCGGGAGCCGGGAUUGCAGUGCCCGGCCCGCGCCCCGGGAUGCGGCGCAUGCUCUGGGGGUCUCGAGUGUGACCGGGACGCGCUGGGCGGGGUGGCGCACAGGCGGGUGACGGCAGAGCGGGAGACUUGGCCGUCUCCUGAUGGCGACGCGGCACGGGGGCUCCGCAGUGCGGGGUGCCAGGCGGCAGGGGUGCCGGUGAGGGGAUGCAGGGCCGCAGGGACAAGAGACGCGGUGAUAGAAGGGUGCGGGGAGGCAGGGCGCGGGGAUACUGGGGUGUUGGGGUGCAGGGGACGGUCGCAGGCGGCUUCUGGCGCGCGUGGCAGGGCGGACGGUGGGUUCGGAGGCUCCGGCUCCUGCGCGCUGUGCUCGGGUCUCGCAGCGGGAAACAGGAAGCCUUUGCCGCCCUUGUUUACACUGGGGCAGGCUUCCCGGUUGGUCAGUUCAAAAGCUCUCGGCCUGCCCGCUUUGGCGGCGCAACCGUCCUCUGGGUCUCCGGAUGCUGGCGCUGCCCUGCGCCCUCCGGACUCCGCCUCGCCGCCCCUCCCCCCGGGCUCGGGACCUUGGACGCUCUCGGGUUUGCACGCUUGAUGUCACUGGCGUCCCGCAGGGUCGCGCUGUCCCUACGUGUAAGGGCUAGGGCGAGUUCUUCCUGAAGGGGAACCCUUGUCGCCGUGUCUGGUGAUGGCUUACGUGACGCCUCGGUCCCCGAGCGCGCGGGGCUGGACCGCCCCAGGCCCCCCGCAGCACCGCCCGCGCGGCCGCCGGCCCCGCCCUCCCCGAGCGCGACGGUCCGGCCGCCCCUCUGCUCAGCGCCCAUCGGAUCUCCGGCCCAGGUCGUCUCCCAGGAACCGGUGAAUAUUACCUUACAUGGAAAAGAUGCAGUAAAUCAAGGAUCUCGAGAGAUGGAGCCUAUCCUGGAUCAUCCUGGGCUCUAAAUGCAAUCGUGUGUCUCUGUAUGGGAGGAAGGCAGAGGGAGCAUUGACACACACAGAGAAGGUGAAGAUGGAGGCAGAGAUUGGGCUGAUGUGGCCACAAACCCUGGGCACCUGGAGCCACGAGGAGCUGGAAGAGGCAGGAAGGAUCCGGCCCUGGAGCUUCUGAAGGGAGUGCAGCCUGCGGACACUUGAUCUUGGACUUCUGGCUUCCAGAACUAGAAGAGCAAAUUUCUAGUGCAAGCCCCCCAGUUUGUGGUAGUUUGCUAGGGCAGCCCCAAGAAGCUAACACGCCACGGGCCCCAGUUGGCGAAUGGCAGGUGGGUGGAAGGGGUGGUGCACCAUUUGUGGAGCAAGGGCUUCAGGAGGCGACGCAGGUUACCACCAGCCUUGCACUCCUGUCUUCACCCCGAGACCUGCACACCCCGGAGGGGAGCUGCUCCUGGAGCCCAGAGAGAGAACACGUUAGUCAGAACUGCAAUCUGCAGCCAGCAGCCAUGGUACCAGCAGCCCUGGGGCUUGCUGCUGAGGUCACCGAGCUUUAGGGCUAUCUUUAUGCAGGGUUACCUCAGAAGAAAUGGUGGCAGGGAAAGUGGCCUACGUAAUAAGGUUGGAAAUCUGUACUUCUCGUCAUGUGGUAAGACCAUCGCUCGUUUUGAUAGAUAAUGUUGAUAGCAUGAGUGGAUCGAUAAGCUGCAUUUGAUAAAGCAUCACAAAAAAAAUGAUAAUCUCAGAAAAGAACUUGGCCUGCUUAAAACUAUGGGCGAAAGAGAAAAGAGAGAAUGCUGAUUCCAGGUUUUAUCAGUCAGGAUUCUCCAGAGAAACAGGACCAAUGGGAUUUAGAGAGAAAGAUUUAAGGAACUAGCUCACGUGGCGGUGGGUGGGACUGGCAAGUGUGAAGUCUGUAGGGCAGGCUGGGGCCAGGGAAGAGCCUGCGUCGCAGCUGGAGUCCAAAGGCUGCCUGAGGUCGCAAGAGUGGGCCCUGAUCCCGUAUGACUGGUGUCCUUAUAAAAAAGAGGAAAUUAGGACCCGGACAUGACAGAGGGGAGAUGAUGUGAGGACACAGGGAGAAGAUGGCCAUCAAUGCACCCAGGAGAGAGGCCUCAGGAGGACCCAGCCCUGCUGACACCUGGAUCUCUGACUUCCAGCCUCCAGGACUGCGAGAGAAUGAAUGUCUGCUGUUUGAGCCGCCCCAUCUGUGGUACUUGUUAUGUCAGCCCAAGCUGACUGACAUGCCAGGACGCUGGGUAAAUGCUCUGCUCCUGGUGAUGUUUUUCAUAAAGCCACUUUGCUGUUACCAUCGUGAAAACAUUCAUGCUUGUAAACCCUGUGUGGCAUACUCUUGAGGUUUGUUGGUGAUAAACACCUGGAAGACAAGAUCUGUCAUCUGUUGGUGAGGGUGAUUAAUUGCAUCCCUGAAAUAUUAAAUCACACACUUUCAGUCGACUGGGAUGGCUUAAGAACUCAGGGAAAUAUUUGCACAUGAAAUGAUAAUAUUUUGGAUUUUUUUCAAAAUAAUCUGAGCAAAAAGAGGGUAGAGGUAUAAAUGAGUCAAAAUUGGUCUUAGGCUGAUAAUUGCUGAAGUCUAGUUCUUUUUACCAUUUUGUCUAUAUUUGUAUAUGUUUUAAAUUUCACAUUUUUUUAAGGGAGAGAAUGCAGUUAUUUAACACAUUAUUUCUGUUCUUCUCGAGUCUGAACUACAAAGCCUUUGAGGUCACCUUAUUUGGCAUGACCCCUAUCAUAUGGUCAUAACCAAAGUCACUGCUCUGUAUGUGUUCAGCAUACAUGCUAGGAGGGUGCAAUCCUAUUACUGUCCUCGUUUCUUCCCCAUGAGAGCAGACGUGUUCUGCCUUGGACACGUCUGGUAUCUGUGUAUAACCGUAGUAUCUACUCACUCCAAAUUCCCACAGGUCUCCCAUGAGCCCACAGUCAUUCAUGCAAGCAGGCAAAUAUCCCUCCCCUCGAGACACUCAGAGACGUAAGAAAACCUUCUGCUUUUGCAUCAGGGUUCUCUGCACACUCGAGUUUCGGCAUCUCAUUUUUCUCAAAAACUUCCAGCUUCGUUUUAUCCCCUUUUGUUGGGCCUUCCAUGAAUGUCCAUGUGAAGAUGUGAGAUUUUUCUUACUCCACACCCUCAGUGGUUUGAAGAAUGGACAGCAAAUAGGUCAUAAGGGAAAUCUGAGCACAGGAGUCCAUGGUGGGCAUACUGCAACCUCCCCCACCCAAGAUCUAGUCCCCAGGAUGUGUCAAUAAGUUAUGUCACAUGGCCAACGGGACUUUGCAGCUGUCAUUAAAGUUACAGACUUUAAGAUAAGGAGAUUAUCCUGGAUUUUCCAUCUAACCUCAAGAGCCCUUAAAAGCAGAGAACUUUUUCCAGCUGGAAUAAGAAAGAUGCCUCACAGAAGUCAGAGCUUAGAAGCCAGCUCAGGAUAUGACCCGCCCUUCCAGAGAGGACCACCUGGGGAGCAUGAGCAGGAACAUGUAUGACUCGUGACGUUCAUACAUAUGAAAAUAAAAACAUUCCCAAUCAUUACUAAAACUA